rnacentral:lncRNA from 1 species
GUGAUAUUGGAUGUGUUGGCUUUCCAUUGGCAAAAUAUCUGAGAAAAUCAACCCAAAGGAGGAAAGGCCCGAUGGGGACACAGAGCUGUGUUACAUCAUGUCAGACGGCAAUCGACGCGCUGCUAACACAAGCUGACAAGAAGGCCCUAGCAAUCUGCUUAUCUGGAUCCUGCCCUUGCUGAGUAAAGGCCACUAUCAGAAUUAUUCACACGGAAUUACAGCAGCUGGGAGUCUGCAGAGUACUCAUUACAUCACCCUCAGGUUAGUCACUCAGCACGGAGGGAGCCUAGCCUGCCCUGGCCCCUGCCCCUUCCCCGCCCUUCCCCGGCAGGUGGGGUCCUUCCUGGCUCACACACCAAGACCAAAAGUCACAUCGGGCCAGUCUCAGAGUGGCCUUGUCUGUGCACAGGGUCUCUUUUCUGAGGCCCUUGCUGUGCAGUGAGCAGAGUCACGCAACGGGGGGGACCCUGGAGGAGAAGGAGGCUUGGGACAAGGUAGUGAGGCCCUUUCCUGGAAGGGUCCCGCCAACCUCUGGGCCCAAAUAUCACUGCAAGCAAUUUAAUGGACCUGUGGAGUCUCCAGCCUGACUUCCACAGAGGCUGCCUGCUUCCUACAUGUCUUGCAAAGGAAAAGACACGAGUACUGAGAGGAGAAGACACCUCAAGAAUGCUCAGACCCUCUGAGACGUUCCCAGCUUGCUCCCACGAGCCAACCCUGGCUUCUACCCUUGACACACCCCUCCUGCACCUCCUCAAGCGACAAGCCCACACCUGCAAUCCAAACACACUCGGGGUACACCCGGCACAUGUCCGUUCCCAUGCAAAACCCAGCAAAACUGAUGGUGGAGGCUGUGGGAGAGAGGCGGGAAGAGAGAAUGUGGUUAAGAAGGUGGGUUCAAAGGCAUGGGCCCCUUAUUACUGCCAUCCCGUAAUAACACACAGGAGCAACAUGGCCUGAACUUGAAGGCAGGCAGGGCUGGAGGAAGAUCAAGGCUUCUGGGAAAGACAGAAGUGCUCUCUGACCUAUUUACUGAUUUAUGUUCAAAUUGUGAUUCAAAUUCUAGCUAUACCCUAUUUUACACAUAUCAGAACUUGGCGGAAAUUCCCAGCCUGUCUCUGGCCCCAGCUGCUCUCCAAAAUAGUGUCC